AAGAAUGUUCUUGGUAAGCCCUUUUAAGUUAGUACCGUCUUCUUUCUGCUUGAUCAGCUCCAACACGCAUUAAUUUAACCACGCAUGUGAAAAGAAAUCGCAGCAUGGAGGACCUUAUUCUUUUUCUUGAUUCUUUCUUCAGUUCAGGUACUACCGUCAUCAGUGUCCAGCUCCCAUGUCUCUGCAUAUCUAGCAAAGCUUAUUAGCUUGAAAUUAAAAGGAGCAGUUGGGCUUUUCUUUUGGCCACCUAACCACCUCUUCUUUCCUACUAUAAGAAUCUUCUUCUCCCUCUUUAUCCAUCGCUUCUGGGAUACUAAAUGUGGUUCUUCUUCUGCAUUUGCUAACACUCGAUGUGAAUUUUGUCACUUCGAGCAAUACCCAUGAUUCGGUUCCUUAAAAUGUUGCAGUUUCCAGUACUUCCUCUUUACUUCUUCUUUACUUGAAACUGGACACGCUUCCUAAACUGAGCUGAGAGGUAAAAAAAUGGGUAUUCAAAUGCACUUGAUUGUCAUGCUGAUGGGAGUACCUGUGCUCUGCAAUUUGUUGUGGGUUCACGGAUCUGC
rnacentral:lncRNA from 1 species